rnacentral:rRNA from 1 species
UUUGCACCACCUGACUAACCCUCCCACUUAGCCUGAACGCACCAUAUAUAUCAUAACUAAGGAGGGAGCUGCCAGCCCAGGUAGAACAGCCCAAAAGGUAUUCGUUGCAAUCCUCAAUCCCGACCACCACAUUCCGCCCAAGGUUAUCACGCUCCCGAAGGAACCACAUCCCCUUUAGCCUUUUUAUGACAGUCAAAAUUGAUGUUAACCGGCUGAUACAACAGUGCACCCCACACAAGUAAUUGAAUAUCGACUAUGACGGUUUUUAGGCUCGCCAAUGCGCUAAUUGCCUUGAUGCGUAAGCUGAUUUGGUACCAGUCCCACUA